GACGAACGCUGGCGGCGUGCCUAAUACAUGCAAGUAGAACGCUGAAGAGAGGAGCUUGCUCUUCUUGGAUGAGUUGCGAACGGGUGAGUAACGCGUAGGUAACCUGCCUGGUAGCGGGGGAUAACUAUUGGAAACGAUAGCUAAUACCGCAUAAAAUGGUUUAUCGCAUGAUUAUCUAUUGAAAGGCGCAAAUGCAUCACUUCCUGAUGGACUUGCGUUGUAUUAGCUAGUUGGUGGGGUAACCGCCUACCCAGGCGACGAUACAUAGCCGGCCUGAGAGGGUGAUCGGCCACACUGGGAAUGGGACCCGGCCCAAAAUCCUACGGGAGGCAGCAGUAGGGAAUCUUCGGCAAUGGGCGGAAGUCUGACCGAGCAACGCCGCGUGAGUGAAGAAGGUUUUCGGAUCGUAAAGCUCUGUUGUAAGAGAAGAACGAGUGUGAGAGUGGAAAGUUCACACUGUGACGGUAUCUUACCAGAAAGGGACGGCUAACUACGUG
rnacentral:rRNA from 1 species